GUGGGGAAUAUUGGACAAUGGGCGAAAGCCUGAUCCAGCCAUGCAGCGUGUGUGAAGAAGGUCUUCGGAUUGUAAAGCACUUUAAGUUGGGAGGAAGGGCAUUAACCUAAUACGUUAGUGUUUUGACGUUACCGACAGAAUAAGCACCGGCUAACUUCGUGCCAGCAGCCGCGGUAAUACGAAGGGUGCAAGCGUUAAUCGGAAUUACUGGGCGUAAAGCGCGCGUAGGUGGUUUUGUAAGUUGGAGGUGAAAUCCCCGGGCUCAACCUGGGAACUGCCUCCAAAACUGCAUGACUAGAGUACGGUAGAGGGUAGUGGAAUUUCCUGUGUAGCGGUGAAAUGCGUAGAUAUAGGAAGGAACACCAGUGGCGAAGGCGACUACCUGGACUGAUACUGACACUGAGGUGCGAAAGCGUGGGGAGCAAACAGGAUUAGAAACCCUAGUAGUCC
rnacentral:rRNA from 1 species